GGGAGGGGAAGUAAAACACUAAAUCUAAGGACCACUCUAUUCACCCUACAGUGACUGCUCUUUUUCCCUCCUGCCACAGUCCAGGGUAGGAGAUACUUCUCCAGGCUCUCACUUAUGGGGGCUUUCCUGCUGGCUACAUCACUGAAAUGGAAUCUCCUAGUGGCCCUUCUCCCUCUACAGCUCUGGUGUUACACUGAAAAACUAGAAGUUUCAAAACAGACAAGGGAAAAAGAGAAACAUCAGAAAGUCUGAUUAAAGUAGAAGCAUCAUAUUUCUAUCAACGUAUCCACUGUGCUUGCUGCUCACUGAUGUCACUUAGAGGAAGGCAGGGGCACAAGAUGGGAGGACCCAGAGCUCCGGGUUCUUAAGCAGCAGAGUUCAUAUCAAGGGCCCAUGUUUUAACUGAAUAUAAUGAAUUUUUUUUUUCACCUUGGAAGAGUCUUAGAGGCAAGAUUAGAAUGUUCAUCUAAAAGGAGUGCAAAUUUCUUCAACCAUUCCCACGGAGGAAGGUCUACUCUGUGAAAAGGAAAUGAUCAUACAUAAUUCAUGCAUUUGCUGUACGGAUUUAAUUAAAUGAUAGACAAAAAGUAGAGUGGCACAAGUCAAACUCAAAAAAUAGUAACAACAAAAUCAAUUUCAAAAUAAGCAACAGCAAUAAAUGUUACCUACUAUUUUACGAAUGAAAAUACUGAGACCAAUAAAGGCAUUAUAGUAUACAUAGCCUUGGAAUCAGAAGACCAAGAACAUACAAGAGAACAUAGCCUUGGAAUCAGAAGACCAAGAAACAAUUUAACUCUGCCCCUCUAGAGCUCUGAGAACUUGGGCAAGCCUUUUACCCUCUGUGAGUUUCAGUUUCCUCAUUUAUUUAAUUGAAAUAAUAAUACAGAUCACCUGAAAUGUAAUGAAAAUUAAACAUCCUUAUGUAGGUGAAACCAACUGGCAGCAUGCCUGGAAUAUAGUGAGUGCUCAUUCGGUCUCUUGUAUUUUCUUUCUAUACCCUACUUCUGUUCCCUUGGAUUCAUAUACCUGAAUUGGAAACACCCAAAGUCAAAAAGAAUAAGAAAAAUCUUUAGAAAUGUAGCAUAUUACCAAGAUCUGCAAAUUUCUGCCCAGAGCAGAUGGUUCUAAUAAAGAAAGUCGGAUCUUAUGUUGAGUUCUUUUCUGUCCAAGAAUAGAAGACCUUCCCUCUUCUCCAGUAGUGAAGAAUAGGAUUCAUCAGCCUUGGGGGCAAAGUUAAAAACUUGCUCUAGAAAGUGGCCUGGAUAGUCAGAAACUGCUUAGACUCACUCCAUCUGUUCUAUACACAUACACACACCUUUGUUUGUCAGUAAAAUAUUCAAUGAGACUUGAUAGUCCAAUCCUUUGAAACCAGAAUAAUAUUUGAAAUUUUGAUGAUUUUAUCUAACUGCUAAUAUCACUUGCAGGUCAUCAGUGUUUUACAUCCAACAAACUAAUGGUCAUUUGCUGCUUUAUAAAGAGCCGAUAUAAUUUUGUCUUCCUUGUUAUUAAAGGAUCAAGCAAGGGUGUUUCUGUACCAGUUCAACUUUCCUUAUUUGCUUAUUAGUCAGUAAUAUUCAAGAAAAUCCUAGUUUUAAAAAAUGUCAUUACAUGUUAAACUGUGGAAAGAGUCACCAUCAUUUGAAUAAAUCUUGAGUAAGCCCA
ensembl:lncRNA JUN-DT JUN divergent transcript